AACGCACAUUGCGCCUCUCUUUACCGGGAGGCAUGCCUGUCUGAGCGUCAUUAAUCUAAUAAAUCCUUGAUUGGAUUUGUCUUGGGCUUUAUACCUCACGGUGCAUCGCCUCAAAGCCAUGGGUCUUAAUUCAUGGAUGAGCUCCUUUUGGACUUGCCGUGGUUUGGCCUCUUUGCGAGGGGUUUGCCUCUCUCUACAUUUGACCUCAGAUCAGGUAGGAAAACCGCCUGAACUUAA
rnacentral:misc_RNA from 1 species